rnacentral:rRNA from 1 species
AUUGAACGCUGGCGGCAGGCUUAACACAUGCAAGUCGAGCGGGGGAAGGUAGCUUGCUACCGGACCUAGCGGCGGACGGGUGAGUAAUGCUUAGGAAUCUGCCUAUUAGUGGGGGACAACAUCUCGAAAGGGAUGCUAAUACCGCAUACGUCCUACGGGAGAAAGCAGGGGAUCGUCGGACCUUGCGCUAAUAGAUGAGCCUAAGUCGGAUUAGCUAGUUGGUGGGGUAAAGGCCUACCAAGGCGACGGUCUGCAGCGGGUCUGAGAGGAUGAUCCGCCACACUGGGACUGAGACACGGCCCAGACUCCUACGGGAGGCAGCAGUGGGGAAUAUUGGACAAUGGGGGGAACCCUGAUCCAGCCAUGCCGCGUGUGUGAAGAAGGCCUUAUGGUUGUAAAGCACUUUAAGCGAGGAGGAGGCUACUUUAGUUAAUACCUAGAGAUAGUGGACGUUACUCGCAGAAUAAGCACCGGCUAACUCUGUGCCAGCCGCCGCCGUAAGAC